GGUUUCUCUGUGUAGCUCUGGCUGUCCUGGAACUCAUUCUGUAGACCAGGCUGGCCUUGAACUCAGAAAUUUGCCUGCCUCUGCCUCCCAAGUGCUGGGACUAAAGGCAUGAGCCACCACUGCCCA
ensembl:miRNA predicted gene, 27690